rnacentral:rRNA from 1 species
GUGCCAGCCGCCGCGGUAAUACGUAGGGGUCGAGCGUUGUCCGGACUUACUGGGCGUAAAGCGUGGGUAGGUGGUCUGGGAUGUGCCGUGUGAAAGCCCCGCGUUCAUCGGGGGGAGGUCGCGGUAGACACUCAGACUUGAGGCAUGCAGAGGGCAGUGGAAUUCCCGGUGUAGUGGUGAAAUGCGUAGAUAUCGGGAGGAACACCAGUGGCGCAAGCGGCUGCCUGGGCAUGACCUGACACUGAGCCACGACGGCGUGGGGAGCAAACGGGAUUAGAUACCCUAGUAGUCC